CUUGAAAUCGCGCUUGGCACGGUCUUUCGAAAGAUUGUCAGCCAUUGGUGUCGCGGACCCU
rnacentral:sRNA from 1 species